AAGCGUGUCUGAUUUAAAACUUGUUUUUCUGAACAGGUGCAAAUGUUUAUCCCAUGGCAGUGUAGUGGAAACGUGAAUAUCUUCUCAAGAGACAGAACUGUUAACUCCACCUUUUUCAUCCUGCCUGCGACAUCUCAAAGUUUGAAUAAUGACUCCUGUUUAAUUCAUGUGGUACUUCACCCUUAGGCCUUAGAACAAAGGCUAGACUUCCUGUCGCCAGUUAAUUUGUUUAUCACUUCUUUCAGGAUAAGACAGGAAUAAACAUUGUUUGGCAUCAAAAAACUCCCAUCAGAUUUAUCUGUGGGUCAGCAAUGCCACCCUGUGGACAUUUUAUCUACUAACCCUGAAAUUUUUUUAUUUUUCACCCAUGUUUUCCAUGUAUAACUAUAAAAAAAAGCAUCUGUGAAGUGUCAAAACAAUACCUUGGUACUCUGAUUUAAUUACUGUAAUAAUCAUGACAUUGUUUAAGUAACUUGAUCUGGUUGAUUAUCUAUUACUCUGUUCUUCUGUUACAUGUCUGGAGGGUGUCAUGUGACCACCGCAGAAAGUCUUAACCAAUGAGAAGUUCCGUUGUGAACAGGGAGUAUUUCAUUGUUCUGCCAUGUAGUGAGUUCUGAAGAAGCGUUUUGAGGAGAAAGCAGUAGUUUUUUUUUAGCUCCAGCUUCCCCCAUCCCGGGGCGAGCUAGGCCAUUCUUUUCCACUUUUUACUUUUUAUAGUUUAAUCUUAAGGAGCUUCCAGGAAGUAGAUUUACAUUGAUUAAAACGAUGAGGCUGAUUUAGUUCAAGUCGGACGACCUCAGUAUGCUCGCAAGGAAUGCAGCCACGGCGCUGGGCAACAUAUCCAGUGAAUGCAGCCGGCAAACCAGAUGACCAGGGAACUUCUACACAGCUAAGUCACAGACUCGGUUGGACUUCACGUGCCACCCAAUUAGCAUAGAAGUAUCCGUUCUGGCGUCUGCAACUUUGCCGCUCCCUCUAGCGAUAGGCUUAGAAAUAGCGAGUUAGUGUCCCACUGAAAUAUGUUUAGGAAGCCAUUCACAAGGUAAUCAUGCCAGAUUAAUUACAUCACUUCUUGAUUAAGUUUACGGAACUGAUUAUAAGUGUGUUUUUGUCUGAGAAAUGAUUUGUAAUGCAUAUAUUUCCCUCUGAACCUCAUUUUAAAUAAUACACGGAUGAAUUUCCAAACGUGA